GGCAGCUUGGGCCUCCAGGUCAAGCGCGGGUGGGAAAUUCGGUGGUUCUCUCCAUCCCUCCCUGGGGCCUCGGUCCUGGGGCGAACUCAUGCUCUUGAGAGCUUCCUGGGCGUAGAAAUUUACGCCGGGCGCCGCCAUCAGAAAACUAGCAUUCUAGGAUGCAUGGGAGGCGGCGCGGAUGGUUGGUUUUCCCGUUGAGGGAAGGCUGUUGAGUGCAAUUUGCGGCCUAUGGCACCCGAUACCGAUCAUUGCU
rnacentral:RNase_P_RNA from 2 species